rnacentral:rRNA from 1 species
GAUGAACGCUGGCGGCGUGCUUAACACAUGCAAGUCGAACGAAGCACUUUAUUUGAUUUCCUUCGGGACUGAUUAUUUUGUGACUGAGUAGCGGACGGGUGAGUAACGCGUGGGUAACCUGCCUUGUACAGGGGGAUAACAGUUGGAAACGGCUGCUAAUACCGCAUAAGCGCACAGCAUCGCAUGAUGCAGUGUGAAAAACUCCGGUGGUAUAAGAUGGACCCGCGUUGGAUUAGCUAGUUGGUGAGGUAACGGCCCACCAAGGCGACGAUCCAUAGCCGACCUGAGAGGGUGACCGGCCACAUUGGGACUGAGACACGGCCCAAACUCCUACGGGAGGCAGCAGUGGGGAAUAUUGCACAAUGGGCGAAAGCCUGAUGCAGCGACGCCGCGUGAGCGAAGAAGUAUUUCGGAAUGUAAAGCUCUAUCAGCAGGGAAGAUAAUGACGGUACCUGACUAAGAAGCACCGGCUAAAUACGUG